AACAUCUCAGUACCCGGAGGAAAGGACAUCAACCGAGACUCCCGUAGUAGUGGCGAGCGAACCGGGACCAGGCCAGUGCUGUCGUGACAUAAAGCUGAAGGAUCUGGAAAGGUCCGCCAAAGUGGGUGAUAGCCCCGUAAGCGUCAAUUAGCGACAGACUCGAGUAGGGCGGGACACGUGAAAUCCUGUCUGAACAUGGGGGGACCAUCCUCCAAGCCUAAGUACUCCUCGACGACCGAUAGUGAACAAGUACCGUGAGGGAAAGGUGAAAAGCACCCCGACAAGGGGAGUGAAAUAGAACCUGAAAUCGGAAGCCUACAAGCAGUCGGAGCCACCUCGCGUGGUGACGGCGUACCUUUUGUAUAAUGGGUCAGCGACUUCAUGUGCCGUGCAAGCUUAAGCCGUUAGGUGUAGGCGCAGCGAAAGCGAGUCUGAAUAGGGCGAAUAAGUACGUCGCAUGACGACCCGAAACCAGGUGAUCUAUCCAUGAGCAGGUUGAAGGCUGGGUAACACCAGCUGGAGGACC
rnacentral:rRNA from 1 species